rnacentral:rRNA from 1 species
GACGAACGCUGGCGGCGUGCUUAACACAUGCAAGUCGUACGGUAAGGCCCUUUCUGGGGUACACGAGUGGCGAACGGGUGAGUAACACGUGAGUAACCUGCCCACAACUUUGGGAUAACGCUAGGAAACUGGUGCUAAUACUGGAUAUGUGCUCCUGCUGCAUGGUGGGGGUUGGAAAGCUCCGGCGGUGGUGGAUGGACUCGCGGCCUAUCAGCUUGUUGGUGGGGUAGUGGCCUACCAAGGCGGCGACGGGUAGCCGGCCUGAGAGGGUGACCGGCCACAUUGGGACUGAGAUACGGCCCAGACUCCUACGGGAGGCAGCAGUGGGGAAUAUUGCACAAUGGGCGCAAGCCUGAUGCAGCAACGCCGCGUGCGGGAUGACGGCCUUCGGGUUGUAAACCGCUUUCAGCAGGGACGAAGCGUUUUGUGACGGUACCUGGAGAAGAAGCACCGGCUAACUACGUG